rnacentral:misc_RNA from 1 species
GGGUCUGAUACUUGUUUGUCCACCUGUAUCCAAAAAAGAAAAACAAAUCUAUUAGGAAAACAAAAAACAUGACUUGGACUUUUGAUUAUGAAAGGCUUUUAGCUCUUCAACAAGAUUAAUUCUGUAUUUAUUUCCAAAUAUAUAGUUGAAAUUGAGAGAAAAUAAUUGUAAAACUAAUGUGGUUUUAACUCUCAUAUAACUGGAGUUUUGAAUUAUCUCAUAUACCUGGUGAAAGUUGGCAUGCCAAAUGUAUUUAAUGAAAAAGAAAAUCCCUCUCAAAUACUAAUGGACCUUUGAUCCUUACUUUCAUGAAACUUAGAGUUGAAAUGAAACACAUAAAGGGUGACAACUGUAGCAAAUAGGUACAUCAGAAGCCAUAUUCCAAAAGCAUUAUGGUGUAUAUGCAUGGCUAGCAUACUGCACAAGUGAUAUGGGACAAAUGACUAUAAUGUUAUGUUACAUACUAUAGAAGGAGGUAUAGGAACAAAGAUAGGAAGUAAUGAAAAUGAUUAUAGCUGUUUCUAGAUAUUCUAGAAGAGGUUAUGAGCGGGAAAAGCAGUAGCAGUUACUAAUUCUGUUGUGGAGAUAGUUAUAAUGACAGCUAAGGAGUUAGACAGUUACAGCAGCUAGAGCUCUAAAAUCUCAGUAGUUACCUUGUAAUUUUCAUCAAAGAACUAUCAAGAAAUACAAUUUCUUUCUCUUUUCUCUCUAUAUCUCUCUAUUCUAGUAUCUUUCUCUCUUCUAUUCUUCUUCUAUACUAUUUUUUUUCUGCUAGGGUUUCACAAACCCUAACAGACAUCUUGACAACAAAUAUUUUACUCAUCAGCUCAAAGUUUGAAGUUUAACUUCAUCAAGGAAAGUUUACCACUUAACUCCGCCUAAGUAGUUUUUGCUAAACCGGUCCCAAGCCCGAUAAUGGAGAAGGGUUGCGUUAGACGACAAUCAACGUAAAAAUUUUUUUACACCUCAUGAUAUGGAUUCUUAUGAU